rnacentral:lncRNA from 1 species
CAAACACAAAACAACGAUGUACAACAGAGGGGAAAUAUGCUCUUGGUCAACUGACCUUGCAGAAAAGACUGGCUUGUUUCCAAGUGGAUGAGAACGCCAGUGUGUGGCCAGAGUCCAGCAAUGACUGACCGGCCCAGGUCAGAGGCUGGCAGGGACCACAGAAGGGCCAAGGCGCUGCCGGGGCUCAUCCCAGGCUCCAACCCCAACCUGGAAGCUUGUGGACACCAGGCUCUGUGCAGCAGCUCCGUGGCUAGCGUCCAGGGCCCCUGGCCACUACUCCCAAAUGCUUCUAGUCCACCCACCCCUGGCCAGCCCCAACCUUGACAUCACUGUGGAUGCCAUCAGGGUGGUCUGGUUCACUUAUACAACAUGAUCCAUGGGAAAACCCCUUCCGU